rnacentral:tRNA from 1 species
GGGCCCAUAGCUCAGUUGGUUAGAGCAGUCCGCUCAUAACGGAUUGGUCGCCUGUUCAAGUCAGGCUGGGCCCACCA